rnacentral:rRNA from 1 species
AGUCGAGCGGUAGGCCUUUCGGGGUACACGAGCGGCGAACGGGUGAGUACACGUGGGUGAUCUGCCCUGCACUUCGGGAUAAGCCUGGGAAACUGGGUCUAAUACCGGAUAUGACCUCCUAUCGCAUGGUGGGUGGUGGAAAGAUUUAUCGGUGCAGGAUGGGCCCGCGGCCUAUCAGCUUGUUGGUGGGGUAAUGGCCUACCAAGGCGACGACGGGUAGCCGACCUGAGAGGGUGACCGGCCACACUGGGACUGAGACACGGCCCAGACUCCUACGGGAGGCAGCAGUGGGGAAUAUUGCACAAUGGGCGAAAGCCUGAUGCAGCGACGCCGCGUGAGGGAUGACGGCCUUCGGGUUGUAAACCUCUUUCAGCAGGGACGAAGCGCAAGUGACGGUACCUGCAGAAGAAGCACCGGCUAACUACGUGCCAGCAGCCGCGGUAAUACGUAGGGUGCAAGCGUUAUCCGGAAUUAUUGGGCGUAAAGAGCUCGUAGGCGGUUUGUCGCGUCUGCUGUGAAAACUGGGGGCUCAACCCCCAGCCUGCAGUGGGUACGGGCAGACUAGAGUGCGGUAGGGGAGAUUGGAAUUCCUGGUGUAGCGGUGGAAUGCGCAGAUAUCAGGAGGAACACCGGUGGCGAAGGCGGGUCUCUGGGCAGUAACUGACGCUGAGGAACGAAAGCGUGGGUAGCGAACAGGAUUAGAUACCCUGGUA